AGUGAACGCUGGCGGCGUGCUUAACACAUGCAAGUCGAACGAGAACGGGCCUAGCUUGCUAGGCUGUCAGCUAAGUGGCGCACGGGUGAGUAAUGUAUAGUUUAUCUGCCCCUUGGAGAGGGAUAGCCAUUGGAAACGAUGAUUAAUACCUCAUACUCCUACUGUCGUAAGGAUAGUAGGGAAACGUCUUUUCGCCAAGGGAUGAGAUUAUAUGGCAUCAGGUAGUUGGUGGGGUAAUGGCCCACCAAGCCAAUGACGCCUAGCUGGUCUGAGAGGAUGAUCAGCCACACUGGUACUGAGACACGGACCAGACUCCUACGGGAGGCAGCAGUGGGGAAUAUUGCACAAUGGAGGAAACUCUGAUGCAGCAACGCCGCGUGGAGGAUGACGCAUUUCGGUGUGUAAACUCCUUUUAUAUGGGAAGAUAAUGACGGUACCAUAUGAAUAAGCACCGGCUAACUCCGUGCCAGCAGCCGCGGUAAUACGGAGGGUGCAAGCGUUACUCGGAAUCACUGGGCGUAAAGCGCGCGCAGGCGGCUUGACAAGUUGGAUGUGAAAUCCUAUGGCUUAACCAUAGAACUGCAUCCAAAACUGUCAAGCUAGAGUCUGGGAGAGGAAGAUGGAAUUAGUUGUGUAGGGGUAAAAUCCGUAGAGAUAACUAGGAAUACCAAAAGCGAAGGCGAUCUUCUGGAACAGUACUGACGCUGAGGCGCGAAAGCGUGGGGAGCAAACAGGAUUAGAUACCCUGGUAGUCCACGCCCUAAACGAUGAAUGUUAGUCGUUGGAGCUCUAGUAGCUUCAGUGAUGCAGCUAACGCAUUAAACAUUCCGCCUGGGGAGUACGGUCGCAAGAUUAAAACUCAAAGGAAUAGACGG
rnacentral:rRNA from 1 species